rnacentral:rRNA from 1 species
UACGAAGGGGGCUAGCGUUGUUCGGAAUUACUGGGCGUAAAGCGUGCGCAGGCGGCUGCUCAAGUCAGGGGUGAAAGCCCAGAGCUCAACUCUGGAACUGCCUUUGAUACUGAGGAUCUCGAGUUCGGGAGAGGUGAGUGGAACUGCGAGUGUAGAGGUGAAAUUCGUAGAUAUUCGCAAGAACACCAGUGGCGAAGGCGGCUCACUGGCCCGAUACUGACGCUGAGGCACGAAAGCGUGGGGAGCAAACAGG